AAUAGUUUCUGAAUUAUCUUGCGGCCCAAUGACUAUUCAGUUUGGAAAUGUUUUGGCAGGGUCUCCCGGAGUCCUCUGAGGGCCUCAGGCGCCCGCCCUGACAAAUGUCUUCUUAUCUUUUAAACAUCAGCAGAAGAUAAUGUGUAAAAUAAGUCAUUAUCAUUAAGUACUACCCCUAGCCCUUUUUAAAAAGUCGAAGCUGCCUGGGUCACCGGAGUGCAGGCAGGUCCCCUUUUAAGGCCCCAAGAAGACUAAACAGGCUGUGGCUUGAGAAAAAGCAACCUGUGAGGAAAGGAAGACCUGGAGCUGGGGAGAGGCUCUUAGGGGUGGGGAACUGUUUUUCUUUGGCUCCUUUGGAAUUGAGUGACUGCACCUGCGCUUGGAGAAAUCCCUAAGGAAGGACUCAAGGGGUGGUUGCUGGAAGGUGGGCUGGAAAGAGAUCAACUGUCCACGCACUACUUCUCUGCCUUUUACUUUUCUCCUUCUAUGCAGAAGACACGGGCACAGGGAGAAUGUGCCCGAAGACCUGAGGCUCCAUGCUGAAUGAGGGUCCCUCAUGCCAGUUAUUUCCCUUCACAGCAGCCAGGCCAGCACUCCCGUAGGUGUACCAAAUGGCUAUCACUCUCUUGGACACCACAGAGCAAUGGCAGCACAAGCCAAGGGAAGAUUCCAGAACCUAUGACUAGGUUUGUGUGGAUUUGCAGUCAGUGGAUGCAUGUCCAUCAACCGUUUGGAAUCCAGGUUUCUAUAUUGGACUUUUAAUCAUGAGGUUUCCAAUGACAGAAUAAGCCCUGAAACAAAUGGACUAUUGUGCUCCCAGGAAAUGUGUUGCUAAGUAUGUUGUUUUUCAGUAAAACCACUAAAGAUAGAUGGCAGACAACUUGUACGAGUAGAGGAGCCAGAGAUUGACAAUUCUUUCUCAGUGGCUCUUACUGACCACACGGGGAUUUCUGUAGCUCUUGAAUGCAUUCUUCCUGCAAUCCCAUUUUAAAAAAUUAAAUGGCUUGAAUCACCCCUUUGGAUCAAAACUUUCUUUAUUGUAUAACCCAAAACUUUAUGGUUCAGCUUAUCUUAUGCCAGAUAGUAGAGGUGUCAUAGGCAAUGGUUUUGACACACUCACUGUUAUAACUAGCAACUUUUUGUGCUUUGAUGGCUGCCACAUAGAAAAUGCACUUUUAUGUGUUCUUGGAAAUCUAUAAAGGAUGCUCUGCUCUAGAAGAGGUAGAAUAGAAUAUGGGUGGUGCCACAGGUCAUGCCUGGGUUUAUUCACAUUCUGCCUCUGUCAUUGGCCAUGUGAUACUGAGCACAUUGGAAACUCUGAGAUAUAUGAAAAUAUUUCCUCAUCUGUAAAAUGGGAAUAACAAUAUCCAAGUCAUAGGGUUGCUGUGAGUAAUAAGUACUCUUUGCUAAGUUUCUAGAAAGUUCCUUAGCACAAAGUUGUAUUUAAUAAAUGGCUUUUAAAACAAG
rnacentral:lncRNA from 1 species